rnacentral:rRNA from 1 species
CAGCCGUAAACUAUGCGCGUUAGGUGUAUCGGUGACCACGAGUUACCGAGGUGCCGAAGGGAAACCGUGAAACGUGCCGCCUGGGAAGUACGGUCGCAAGGCUGAAACUUAAAGGAAUUGGCGGGGGAGGCACCACAACAGGUGGAGCCUGCGGUUUAAUUGGACUCAACGCCGGGAAGCUCACCGGAUAGGACAGCAGAAUGAUUGCCGGGCUGAAGACCCUGCAUGACUAGCUGAGAGGUGGUGCAUGGCGUCAGUGACU